CAGCCGCCGCGGUAAUACGAAGGGGGCUAGCGUUGCUCGGAAUGACUGGGCGUAAAGGGCGCGUAGGCGGUUUGUACAGUUGGAUGUGAAAUUCCUGGGCUUAACCUGGGGGCUGCAUUCAAUACGUGCAGGCUUGAGUGUGGAAGAGGGUUGUGGAAUUCCCAGUGUAGAGGUGAAAUUCGUAGAUAUUGGGAAGAACACCGGUGGCGAAGGCGGCAACCUGGUCCAUUACUGACGCUGAGGCGCGAAAGCGUGGGGAGCAAACAGGAUUAGAUACCCCUGUAGUCCCUGUCUCUUAUAC
rnacentral:rRNA from 1 species